rnacentral:rRNA from 1 species
ACGGGUGAGUAAUGUAUCGGAACAUGUCCGGAAGUGGGGGAUAACGUAGCGAAAGUUACGCUAAUACCGCAUAUGCCCUGAGGGGGAAAGGUGGGGAUCGUAAGACCUAUCGCUUUCGGAGUGGCCGAUAUCAGAUUAGCUAGUUGGUGGGGUAAAGGCCUACCAAGGCGACGAUCUGUAGCUGGUCUGAGAGGACGACCAGCCACACUGGGACUGAGACACGGCCCAGACUCCUACGGGAGGCAGCAGUGGGGAAUUUUGGACAAUGGGGGCAACCCUGAUCCAGCCAUGCCGCGUGAGUGAAGAAGGCCUUCGGGUUGUAAAGCUCUUUCGGACGGAAAGAAAUCGCCAUUUCUAAUACAAGUGGUGGAUGACGGUACCGUCAUAAGAAGCACCGGCUAACUACGUGCCAGCAGCCGCGGUAAUACGUAGGGUGCGAGCGUUAAUCGGAAUUACUGGGCGUAAAGCGUGCGCAGGCGGUUUUGUAAGACAGGUGUGAAAUCCCCGGGCUUAACCUGGGAACUGCAUUUGUGACUGCAAGGCUAGAGUGUGGCAGAGGGGGGUAGAAUUCCACGUGUAGCAGUA